rnacentral:rRNA from 1 species
ACAUACGAUCAUACCAACUCACAUGUACCGGAUCCCAUCUAAACUCCGAAGUUAAGCGAGUUUGGACGAGAGUAGGUACUAGAAUGGGUGACCGUCUGAGAAGUCCUCGUGUUGCAUCCC